UCUCAAAGUAAAGAGGAAGCAAAUUAAAGCAAAGCAAAGAAAUAAUCAAGAGAAAUAUUUAGUUAGUGCUUUGAGGUUUUCAUAGCCAUGGCUGAGCUUGGACAACAACUCAAGGAGAGGUUCUUUUCACUUUGUUGGCCGUGUUAGGAGUUUCAGCUUCUUGUCUUACACUCAGGAAAAACAAGAGAAUGAAGUCAUUGGAGAAACCAAGAUUGGAACUCAGGUUAUCACGGAAAGAGCAUAUGAUGAGAGUUCAAAUUAUAAAGCGACUUCACCUCCGGAACCUCAAACUAAUUAAUUAACAAGCAUCCCAAGAGAAGAAUUUGAAGUACUGCAUAAGUAGAAACUCUACACCGAUCGUUUGGUCAUUAAUUUUCUCUGAGUUCUUUGGCUUAGCGUUGAUAUAUGUUGUUAUUAUCUAUAUAUAUAUAUAUAUAUAUGUAUCGACUAUUGCUGCUGCUGCAGCUUGUGUGUGAUUAAUUUCUCUUUUUAUCUAGGACUGU